UAUGCUUCUGUGAGACUGGAAGUGGAUCCUCCUCUGAUCAAAUCUACAGUUCUCCAUUUAAGGAAUCUUGUGAUUACAUGGGGCUCACUAGGAUAAUCUCAUUUUAAGGCUAGUCUUGAGCUUAUUAUGUACCCCAUGGUGACCUUGAACUCAUGGUGAUCCUCCUGUCUUAGCCUCCUGAGUACUGGGAUUACAGGGGAAGGCCUAUUAACCACUCCACUAAAAGGAACAAAACAAAACAAAAAAACUAAAACAGAAAAAUUGUGUGAAGAAUUUUAUUUUUAAACUACCUAGACUCGCAGAUUUUGUCUUUGGACCAGUGCUCCUCAACAUAAAACAAAUGUUUGCAGUGGAC
rnacentral:lncRNA from 1 species